UGCGUAGGCGGUCGGGUAAGUCUGAUGUGAAAUCUUCAAGCUCAACUUGGAAACUGCAUCGGAUACUAUUCGGCUCGAGGAAUGGAGGGGAGACUGGAAUACUUGGUGUAGCAGUGAAAUGCGUAGAUAUCAAGUGGAACACCAGUGGCGAAGGCGAGUCUCUGGACAUUUCCUGACGCUGAGGCACGAAAGCCAGGGGAGCAAACG
rnacentral:rRNA from 1 species